rnacentral:rRNA from 1 species
GAGACUCUGUGCGCGUGCAUAUCAAUAAGCGGAGGAAAAGAAACUAACAAGGAUUCCCCUAGUAACGGCGAGUGAAGCGGGAAGAGCUCAAAUUUGAAAUCUUAAAGGGUUUCCCUUUACGAAUUGUAGUUUAAAGAAGUGUUUUCUGUUGGAGUUUCGGUAAAAGUUCUUUGGAAUAGGACAUCAUAGAGGGUGAGAAUCCCGUAUCUGACCAGUUACUUUCCAGCUGUGUGAUACACUUUCAAAGAGUCGGAUUGUUUGGGAAUGCAGUCCAAGAUGGGUGGUAAAUUUCAUCUAAAGCUAAAUAUUGGCGAGAGACCGAUAGCGAACAAGUACCGUGAGGGAAAGAUGAAAAGAACUUGAAAAGAGAGUUAAACAGUACGUGAAAUUGUCAAAAGGGAAGCGUUUGACACCAGUGUUGUUUAGUUGAAAAUCAAUUCAAUAGUUUUUGAUUUUAAGUAGUAUUGACUUCAUCAGCUUGCUAGCUUUCUUUUCAGGAAUUAUUGAAUGCACUUUUCAGUUAACAAGUCAACAUCAAUUUCUUUUGUUGUAAAAGGGUAAGAGGAAGGUGGCUUACGCUUCGGCGUAAGUGUUUAUAGCCUUUUACCUCUGCAAUCGGAGAGAUUGAGGACAGCAGCGUAGACUCCUUCGGGGUUAGAUACACUUGUGCUAAGCUAUAGCCUUGUAUAGACAACUUGUUGACUAUGCUCAGUCAUGUAGCUUACUCGCUUAUGCUAUUUUACCUACGCUUAGGAUGUUGACAGCAGUAUAGACUGU